rnacentral:rRNA from 1 species
GAUGAACGCUAGCUACAGGCUUAACACAUGCAAGUCGAGGGGAAACGACAACGAAAGCUUGCUUUUGAUGGGCGUCGACCGGCGCACGGGUGAGUAACGCGUAUCCAACCUGCCCAUCACUUGGGAAUAACCUUGCGAAAGUAAGACUAAUGCCCAAUGAUAUCCCACGAAGGCAUCCGAAUGGGAUUAAAGAUUUACCGGUGAUGGAUGGGGAUGCGUCUGAUUAGCUUGUUGGCGGGGUAACGGCCCACCAAGGCGACGAUCAGUAGGGGUUCUGAGAGGAAGGUCCCCCACAUUGGAACUGAGACACGGUCCAAACUCCUACGGGAGGCAGCAGUGAGGAAUAUUGGUCAAUGGGCGAGAGCCUGAACCAGCCAAGUAGCGUGCAGGAUGACGGCCCUAUGGGUUGUAAACUGCUUUUAUAAGGGAAUAAAGUGAGUCUCGUGAGACUUUUUGCAUGUACCUUAUGAAUAAGGACCGGCUAAUUCCGUGCCAGCCGCCGCAGUAA